rnacentral:rRNA from 1 species
AACGAACGCUGGCGGCGUGCUUAACACAUGCAAGUCGAACGGCAAGGCGCUGCUUUUGUGGGCUGCUAGAGUGGCACGCGUGAGUGUAACACCUGAAUAUCCUGACCUUGAGUUUGUGAUAAGUUCAGAGACGUGUGAAUACUGCAGAAUAGGUGCUGCUGCUACCUGGUGGGCGUAAGAAAGUUUCGUAGGUUAGGGGUCGAUUGACGUCUUACUAGCUAGUUGGUGGGGUAAUGGCUUACCAAGGCGUCGACCGGUAGUCGGCCUGUGAGGGCGACCAGCGACACUGGGACUGAGACACGGCCCAGACUACUACGGGAGGCAGCAGUGGGGAACUUUGGACAAUGGGGGCAACUCUGAUCCAGCCAUGCCGCGUGCGGGACGAAGGCCUUCGGGUUGUAAACCGCGUUUGUUGGGGAAGAAAUGCUCUGGGCUAAUACCCCGGGUGGAUGACGGUACCGGAAGAAUAAGCACCGGCUAACUACGUG